rnacentral:rRNA from 1 species
GACGAACGCUGGCGGCGUGCUUAACACAUGCAAGUCGAACGGAAAGGCCCUGCUUUUGUGGGGUGCUCGAGUGGCGAACGGGUGAGUAAAACGUGAGUAACCUGCCCUUGACUUUGGGAUAACUUCAGGAAACUGGGGCUAAUACCGGAUAGGAGCUCCUGCUGCAUGGGGGGGGUUGGAAAGUUUCGGCGGUUGGGGAUGGACUCGCGGCUUAUCAGCUUGUUGGUGGGGUAGUGGCUUACCAAGGCUUUGACGGGUAGCCGGCCUGAGAGGGUGACCGGCCACAUUGGGACUGAGAUACGGCCCAGACUCCUACGGGAGGCAGCAGUGGGGAAUAUUGCACAAUGGGCGGAAGCCUGAUGCAGCAACGCCGCGUGCGGGAUGACGGCCUUCGGGUUGUAAACCGCUUUCGCCUGUGACGAAGCGUGAGUGACGGUAAUGGGUAAAGAAGCACCGGCUAACUACGUG